rnacentral:rRNA from 1 species
ACACGUAGGGGCCUGACGUUGUUCGGAAUUACUGGGCGUAAAGGGCAUGUAGGCGGUUUUGUAAGCCUGGCGUGAAAUUCUGCAGCUUAACAGUAGGAAUGCGCUGGGAACUGCGAGACUGGAGUCACGGUGAGGGAGCCAGAAUUACAGGUGAAGGGGGGAAAUCUGUGGAUAUCUGGAAGAAUACCAAUGGCGAAGGCAGGCUUCUGGCCGAUGACUGACGCUGAGGUGCGAAAGCGUGGGUAGCAAACAGGAUUAGAUACCCUGGUAGUCCACGCGGUAAACGAUGCACACUAGGUGCCGGGGCGGACGCUUCGGUGCCGGAGCCAACGUGGUAAGUGUGCCGCCUGGGGAGUAUGCUCGCAAGGGUGAAACUUAAAGGAAUUGACGGGG